ensembl:snoRNA C/D box small nucleolar RNA (snoRNA); guides 2'-O-methylation of small subunit (SSU) rRNA at position G1428
UUAACAUGAUGAAAAAAUAUAUUAACACAGACCUGUACUGAACUUUUCGAAGUUUUGCAGAUAACAAUAUUGCUUUUUUUCUCUGACU